rnacentral:rRNA from 1 species
AACGAACGCUGGCGGCAUGCCUAACACAUGCAAGUCGAACGGUAACAGGUCUUCGGAUGCUGACGAGUGGCGAACGGGUGAGUAAUACAUCGGAACGUGCCCGAGAGUGGGGGAUAACGAGGCGAAAGCUUUGCUAAUACCGCAUACGAUCUCAGGAUGAAAGCAGGGGACCGCAAGGCCUUGCGCUCACGGAGCGGCCGAUGGCAGAUUAGGUAGUUGGUGGGAUAAAAGCUUACCAAGCCGACGAUCUGUAGCUGGUCUGGGAGGAAGACCAGCCACACUGGGACUUGGACACGGCCCAGACUCCUACGGGAGGCAGCAGUGGGGAAUUUUGGACAAUGGGCGCAAGCCUGAUCCAGCCAUGCCGCGUGCAGGAUGAAGGCCUUCGGGUUGUAAACUGCUUUUGUACGGAACGAAAAGACUCCUUCUAAUAAAGGGGGUCCAUGACGGUACCGUAAGAAUAAGCACCGGCUAACUACGUGCCAGCAGCCGCCGUAACAC